rnacentral:rRNA from 1 species
AGUGAGCGCUGGCGGUAGGCCUAACACAUGCAAGUCGAACGGCAGCACAGUAAGAGCUUGCUCUUACGGGUGGCGAGUGGCGGACGGGUGAGGAAUACAUCGGAAUCUACUUUUUCGUGGGGGAUAACGUAGGGAAACUUACGCUAAUACCGCAUACGACCUACGGGUGAAAGCAGGGGAUCUUCGGACCUUGCGCGAGUGAAUGAGCCGAUGUCGGAUUAGCUAGUUGGCGGGGUAAAGGCCCACCAAGGCGACGAUCCGUAGCUGGUCUGAGAGGAUGAUCAGCCACACUGGAACUGAGACACGGUCCAGACUCCUACGGGAGGCAGCAGUGGGGAAUAUUGGACAAUGGGCGCAAGCCUGAUCCAGCCAUACCGCGUGGGUGAAGAAGGCCUUCGGGUUGUAAAGCCCUUUUGUUGGGAAAGAAAAGCAGCAGGUUAAUACCCCGCUGUUCUGACGGUACCCAAAGAAUAAGCACCGGCUAACUUCGUG